rnacentral:miRNA from 1 species
UUAAAUAACUCAUCAUUCAAUCAC